rnacentral:rRNA from 1 species
UGAGUAGGCGGUUGCAUAUGUCAGAUGUAAAAGGCACAGGCUUAGCUUGUGUUAGCAUUUGAAACUGUGCGACUUGAGUGCAGGAGAGGUAAGUGGAAUUCCUAGUGUAGCGGUGAAAUGCGUAGAUAUUAGGAGGAACACCAGUGGCGAAGGCGACUUACUGGACUGUAACUGACGCUGAGUCACGAAAGCGUGGGUAGCAAACA